UUUCUCGCAGGAUAACUGAAGCAUAUAAUGAAGCUGUUAUAUUCGAUAAAACGAAUGAUUAGUGGGACGAAAUGUCUUGAGUAUGGCGUCUUGCUUGCUUGAAUGAAGCGUAGACAUGAAAUGUGUGUCCAACUAGGCUUUUUUUUUGAUAAACGAAACUGGCGCUGUGGGAUGAACCA
rnacentral:ncRNA from 1 species